rnacentral:lncRNA from 1 species
GAUUACCUUCAUAAGAUGGAAGAAUGAAUUCACAAAUGGCUAUUAAAUUUUCACCAGGAAAAAUGUUAAUACAUGAAAAAAUGUAAGAAAUAAAAUAACACUGAACACUCACCAAAUUAUAGUCUUCUAAAUCAUACAAUAGUAAAGGUUGAAUAGGAAUAGGAAAAAGAUAUAGGAAUCCUAAUCAACCCAGAACUCACUUUUGAAAAUCACAUAAGUGA